rnacentral:rRNA from 1 species
UACAGAGGGUGCAAGCGUUGUUCGGAUUUACUGGGCGUAAAGCGCGCGUAGGCGGCUUUGUAAGUUAGAGGUGAAAGCCCGGGGCUCAACCCCGGAAUUGCCUUUAAGACUGCAUCGCUAGAAUCCAGGAGAGGUGAGUGGAAUUCCGAGUGUAGAGGUGAAAUUCGUAGAUAUUCGGAAGAACACCAGUGGCGAAGGCGGCUCACUGGACUGGUAUUGACGCUGAGGUGCGAAAGCGUGGGGAGCAAACAGG